rnacentral:rRNA from 1 species
AGAGAGAGACAUGCGCGCAUAUCAAUAAGCGGAGGAAAAGAAACUAACAAGGAUUCCCCUAGUAACGGCGAGUGAAGCGGGAAGAGCUCAAAUUUGAAAUCUUAAAGGGUUUCCCUUUACGAAUUGUAGUUUAAAGAAGUGUUUUCUGUUGAGGUUUUGGUAAAAGUUCUUUGGAAUAGGACAUCAUAGAGGGUGAGAAUCCCGUAUUUGACCUUUACUUUCAACUUUGUGAUACACUUUCAAAGAGUCGGAUUGUUUGGGAAUGCAGUCCAAAAUGGGUGGUAAAUUUCAUCUAAAGCUAAAUAUUGGCGAGAGACCGAUAGCGAACAAGUACCGUGAGGGAAGGAUGAAAAGAACUUUGAAAAGAGAGUUAAACAGUACGUGAAAUUGUCAAAAGGGAAGCGUUUGACACCAGUGUUGUUUUUCUGAAAAUCAAUUAAAGAACUGUUUAUGCUAAGUUGUUUAGACUUUAUCAGCUAUCUGUUUAGUUUUGAGCUUUUCUUUAAUGCACUUUUCAGUUAACAAGUCAACAUCAAUUUCUUUUGCUGUAAUAAAGCUUGAGGAAGGUGGCUUGAGAUUCGUCUUAAGUGUUUAUAGCCUCUUGCCUAUGCAGUCGGAGAGAUUGAGGUCUGCAGCGUAGAUCCUUCGGGGCUAAAUGCAUUUGUGCUAAGUUAUAGCAUUUUAUAGACAACUUGUUGACUAUGAUUUGUCUUGUAGCUUACUCGCUUAUGUUAUUUUACCUACGCUUAGGAUGUUGAGCGCAUGUCUCUCUCU